GACGAACGCUGGCGGCGUGCCUAAUACAUGCAAGUAGAACGCUGAAGAGAGGAGCUUACUCUUCUUGGAUGAGUUGCGCACGGGUGAGUAACGCGUAGGUAACCUGCCUUGUAGCGGGGGAUAACUAUUGGAAACGAUAGCUAAUACCGCAUAACAAUGGAUGACACAUGUCAUUUAUUUGAAAGGGGCAAUUGCUCCACUACAAGAUGGACCUGCGUUGUAUUAGCUAGUAGGUGAGGUAAUGGCUCACCUAGGCGACGAUACAUAGCCGACCUGAGAGGGUGGUCGGCCAAACUGGGAAUGAGAAACGGCCCAGACUCCUACGGGAGGGAGCAGUAGGGAAUCUUCGGAAAUGGGGGGAAACCUGACCGAGCAACGCCGCGUGAGUGAAGAAGGUUUUCGGAUCGUAAAGGUCUGUUGUAAGUCAAGAACGGGUGUGAGAGUGGAAAGUUCACGCUGUGACGGUAGCUUACCAGAAAGGGACGGCUAACUACGUG
rnacentral:rRNA from 1 species